GAUGAACGCUGGCGGUGCGCCUAAUGCAUGCAAGUCGAGCGACGCAUACCGGAGGGGUAACCCACUGGUAUGACGGAGCGGCGAACGGGUGAGUAACACGUGAGCAACCUGCCCCACAGAUCGGGAUAGCCCAGGGAAACCUGGAUUAAUACCGAAUACCCUCGGGAGAUCACAUGAUCUAUCGAGGAAAAGCCUUUGUGCUGUGGGAUGGGCUCGCGACUUAUCAGCUAGUUGGUGGGGUAACGGCCUACCAAGGCAACGACGAGUAGCUGGUCUGAGAGGACGAUCAGCCACACUGGGAACUGAGACACGGGUCCAGACUCCUACGGGAGGCAGCAGCAGGGAAUCUUGCGCAAUGGGCGAAAGCCUGACGCAGCGACACCGCGUGGGGGAUGAAGGCCUUCGGG
rnacentral:rRNA from 1 species